AUGUACCACGCGUACACUGCAAUUGUGAGUGCGCCGUCCGCGCUCACCUGACAGGUGCUCGCUACGUUUUGUUAGCC
rnacentral:sRNA from 17 species